ACUAUGCUUAGCCCUAAACAUCGAUUGCAUCAUACACUCCAUAUCCGCCCGGGAAUUAUGAACGUCAGUUUAAAACCCAAAGGACUUGGCGGUGCUUAACAUCCA
rnacentral:rRNA from 1 species